rnacentral:rRNA from 1 species
AGUGAACGCUGGCGGUAGGCCUAACACAUGCAAGUCGAACGGCAGCACAGUAAGAGCUUGCUCUUACGGGUGGCGAGUGGCGGACGGGUGAGGAAUACAUCGGAAUCUACUUUUUCGUGGGGGAUAACGUAGGGAAACUUACGCUAAUACCGCAUACGACCUACGGGUGAAAGCAGGGGAUCUUCGGACCUUGCGCGAUUGAAUGAGCCGAUGUCGGAUUAGCUAGUUGGCGGGGUAAAGGCCCACCAAGGCGACGAUCCGUAGCUGGUCUGAGAGGAUGUAGAGCAAGCCUGGAGCUAAGACGCGGUCCAGACUCUAACGGGAGGCAGCAGUGGGGAAUAUUAGUCAAUGGGCGCAAGCCUAAUCCAGCCAUACCGCGUGGGUGAAGAAGGACUUCGGGUUGUAAAGCCCUUUUGUUGGGAAAGAAAUGCAGCAGGUUAAUACCCCGCUGUUCUGACGGUACCCAUAGAAUAAGCACGGGCUAACUUCGU